AUUGAACGCUGGCGGCAUGCCUUACACAUGCAAGUCGAACGGCAGCACGGGUGCUUGCCCCUGGUGGCGAGUGGCGAACGGGUGAGUAAUACAUCUGAACAUGUCCUGUAUUGGGGGAUAGCCCGGCGAAAGCCGGAUUAAUACCGCAUACGAUCUACUGAUGACAGCGGGGGACCUUCGGGCCUCGCGCUAUAGGGUUGGCCGAUGGCUGAUUAGCUAGUUGGUGGGGUAAAGGCCUACCAAGGCGACGAUCAGUAGCUGGUCUGAGAGGACGACCAGCCACACUGGGACUGAGACACGGCCCAGACUCCUACGGGAGGCAGCAGUGGGGAAUUUUGGACAAUGGGCGAAAGCCUGAUCCAGCAAUGCCGCGUGUGUGAAGAAGGCCUUCGGGUUGUAAAGCACUUUUGUCCGGAAAGAAAUCCUUGGCCCUAAUACGGUCGGGGGAUGACGGUACCGGAAGAAUAAGCACCGGCUAACUACGUG
rnacentral:rRNA from 1 species